rnacentral:lncRNA from 1 species
GAGACACGGACAGGUGUGACAUGGACAGGUGAGACAUGGACAGGUGAGACAUACAUGGACACAUGGACACCUCAUCACCACCUGGAUCAUGUCCAGGAUCAGGAUCUGACACAGGUGAGACAGGGACAGGUGAGACACGGAGGGAUGGGACACAGGUGAGACGCGGACAGGUGAGACACGGACCCUCCAGGAGAGCCAUGGACCUCCUGGUACCACCUCAAUCGUGUCCAGGAUCAGGAUCUGACAGGUGAGCCAGGUGAGACAUGGACAGGUGAAACAUGGACACCUCAGCACCACCUGGAUCAUGUCCAGGAUCAGGAUCUGAGAUAGGUGAGACAUGGACAGGUGAGACAUGGAGACCCCAUGUCACCACCUCGAUCACGUCCAGGAUCAGGAUCUGAGAUAGGUGAGACACGGACAGGUGAGACAGGUGAGACAUGGAGACCUCAUCACCACCUCAAUCACAUCCAGGAUCAGGAUCUGACAGGUGAGACACCGACAGGUGAGACAGGGACAGGUGAGACAUGGACAGGUGAGACAUGGACAGGUGAGACAUGG